GAUGAACGCUGGCGGCGUGCCUAAUACAUGCAAGUCGAGCGAACAGACGAGGAGCUUGCUCCUCUGACGUUAGCGGCGGACGGGUGAGUAACACGUGGAUAACCUACCUAUAAGACUGGGAUAACUUCGGGAAACCGGAGCUAAUACCGGAUAAUAUAUUGAACCGCAUGGUUCAAUAGUGAAAGACGGUUUUGCUGUCACUUAUAGAUGGAUCCGCGCCGCAUUAGCUAGUUGGUAAGGUAACGGCUUACCAAGGCAACGAUGCGUAGCCGACCUGAGAGUGGGAACGGCCACACGAGAAAUGAGACACGGUCAAGAAUCCUAUGGGAGGCAGCAGGAGGGAAUCUUCAGCAAUGGGCGAAAGCCUGACGAAGCAACGCCGCGUGAGUGAUGAAGGUCUUCGGAUCGUAAAACUCUGUUAUUAGGGAACAACAUAAGGGUAAGUAACUGUGCACAUCUUGACGGUACCUAAUCAGAAAGCCACGGCUAACUACGUG
rnacentral:rRNA from 1 species